rnacentral:rRNA from 1 species
AUUGAACGCUGGCGGAAUGCUUUACACAUGCAAGUCGAGCGGCAGCGCGGGGGCAACCCUGGCGGCGAGCGGCGAACGGGUGAGGAACACAUCGGAACGUGCCCCGGAGUGGGGGAUAACGCCGCGAAAGCGGCGCUAAUACCGCAUAUGCUCUGAGGAGGAAAGCGGGGGACCUGUGAGGGCCUCGCGCUCUGGGAGCGGCCGAUGUCCGAUUAGCUAGUUGGUGGGGUAAAGGCCUACCAAGGCGACGCUCGGUAGCUGGUCUGAGAGGAUGAUCCGCGACACUGGGACUGGGACACGGCCCAGACUCCUACGGGAGGAGGCAGGGGGGAAUUUUGGACAAUGGGGGCAACCCUGAGCCAGCCAUGCCGCGUGCGGGAAGAAGGCCUUCGGGUUGUAAACCGCUUUUAGCCGGGAAGAAAAGGCCACGGACAAUACCCGUGGUUCUUGACGGUACCGGCGGAAUAAGCACCGGCUAACUACGUGCCAGCCGCCGCAGUAAUAC